rnacentral:rRNA from 1 species
AAUAUUUGAUAAUGGGCGAAAGCCUGAUCCAUCCAUGCCGCGUGUGUUAAGAAGUUCUUCGGCUUGUAAAGCACUUUCAGUUGGGAGGAAAGGCAGUAAGUUAAUACCUUGCUUUUUUGACGUUACCGACAGAUUAAGCACCGGCUAACUUAGUGCCAGCAGUGGAGGUAAUACGAAGGGUGCAAGCGUUAAUCGGAAUUACUGGUCGUAAAGCGAGCGUAGGUGGUUUGAUAAGUUGGAUGUGAAAGCCCCGGGCUCAACCUGGGAAUUGCAUCCAAAACUGUCUGACUAGAGUAUGGCAGAGGGUGGUGGAAUUUCCUGUGUAGAGGUGAAAUGAGUAGAUAUAGGAAGGAACACCAGUGGCGAAGGCGACCACCUGGGCUAAUACUGACACUGAGGUGCGAAAGCGUGGGGAGCAAACAGG